GCGCCCGUAGCUCAGUUGGAUAGAGCACAUGCCUUCUAAGCCUGUGGUCGGACGUUCGAAUCGUCUCGGGCGCGCCA
rnacentral:tRNA from 1 species